rnacentral:tRNA from 1 species
AGCAGAGUAGUGCAGUGGAUGCGCGCUGGGCCCAUAAGCCAGAGGUCAAUGGCUUAAAAACAUCCUCUGCUA